rnacentral:rRNA from 1 species
UGGCGAACGGGUGAGUAACACGUGGGUGAUCUGCCUGACUUUGGGAUAAGCCUGGGAAACUGGGUCUAAUACCGGAUAUGACCAUGGGAUGCAUUCUGUGGUGGAAAGCUUUUGCGGUUGGGGAUGGGCCCGCGGCCUAUCAGCUUGUUGGGGGUAAUGGCCUACCAAGGCGACGACGGGUAGCCGACCUGAGAGGGUGAUCGGCCACAGGGACUGAGACACGGCCCAGACUCCUACGGGAGGCAGCAGUGGGGAAUAUUGCACAAUGCGCAAGCCUGAUGCAGCGACGCCGCGUGAGGGAUGACGGCCUUCGGGUUGUAAACCUUUCAGUAGGGACGAAGCUUCGGUGACGGUACCUGCAGAAGAAGCACCGGCCAACUACGCCAGCAGCCGCGGUAAUACGUAGGGUGCGAGCGUUGUCCGGAAUUACUGGGCGUAAAGCUCGUAGGCGGUUUGUCGCGUCGUCUGUGAAAUUCUGCAACUCAAUUGCAGGCGUGCACGAUACGGGCAGACUUGAGUACUACAGGGGAGACUGGAAUUCCUGGUGUAGCGGUGAAGCGCAGAUAUCAGGAGGAACACCGGUGGCGAAGGCGGGUCUCUGGGUAGUAACUGACGGAGGAGCGAAAGCGUGGGUAGCGAACAGGAUUAGAUACCCUGGUAGUCCACGCCGUAAGGUGGGUACUAGGUGUGGGUUCCAUUUCACGGGAUCCGUGCCGUAGCUAACGCAUUAA